CCAAAAUCAACGCUUGCUCUCACCGACUGAAAUCUGGAAACUAAAUAUUUUCUUCCACUUCUGCUCUUCUCCAUUCUCACUUCUCUCACAGAAAAAUCUCUGUAUGUUUCAAAUUGCUCCUUCGGAUAGCUUAUCUCUCAUAGCUUAUCUCUCUGCCUUGUCUUUUGGUUUUGGCAGGCUUGUGAAUGUAUUCCUAGGUUCGACGGAAACCACUUCUUCAUGAUCGACGGCAGCCAGCUCAACGGAAACUUUGCUCAGAGGCUUCAGAAUUUUCAUUGAUGGAAUCUUCGCUUAGCGUAUCUCUCUCACCACCUCUCUCUCUCAUAGCUUGUCUCUGUUUUUUUUUUCUAAUCUGCUUGUGAUUUGAUGCUCAGAGACAUGAAAAUGCAAGACAAUAUGAAAAAUCCUUAGCACGAGGAGAUCAAUAAUUACAAUGCAAGCAUUCUUUGUUUUCAGUACAAGUUUUUAUGUUGAUGGUCAAUGGCGAUAUGAUGAAUCCCAACAUCAUGAGCGGCGAAUAUCGUAUGGUCAACACAUUAAUUUUGGGUAUGGAUUACAUGGAUGUUGGUAAUGAAGCCUUUCAGCGUAUGGAUGUCUUUCUACUAAAAUGUUGUUAUUGUUGUCGUUCGUUUUUGUUAUUAUCUACCAACAACUUUGAACCAGACUGUUACAAUUCAGGCCUGAGUUGCAGAUGGUCCACCGACCGAGGUGGUGCCAGGUAGAUCAACGCUGAUUUAUAGGCCUCCCAUCAACGUAUUUUUGUAUUAUUCUCUACUUACACUGCCAAUGAGUUACUUCCUGACCCAGGCAAGAUGUUGAUUUACCUGUGAAGCAAGCAUUUAAUAUACUGCAUGAACAGUCGACACGGCAUCUGGUGAAAAUGCUUCAAUUUAAAAAGCCUAAGAAAAAGAAAUCCUUGUAGAAGAAAGAUGAGCUGGAUUUAGAUGUCCUUGAAGCAGAGGCUCUUAUCUGCUGGUCUGGGUGUUGAGGAUCUUGGUUCCCAGAGGGAUGAAAGGAGGCAAGCCACAAGAGAGGAGCAAGAAAGAGCUGAGGCUGAAUUGAGAAACCAUGCAUACCAGUCAGCCUGUGCAAAAGCUAAUGAGGCAUCGCAAUGAUAAUGGCGGCACAAAACGAUGCGUUACUGGAAGUAGUUUUGGAUCAGCUUCAAACAGUUCUACCUAUCCGAUUACAAAAGUAUCUGAAAUCGCAGAAAGACUAAUAAUUGCUCUAGCAAUGACAGUAUAAUUUCCUUUUUUUUAAGCCAAAUAUCUUAUUUUAAAGAAUAAAAUUCGUUUUUUAACUCUUUUGAAUGAUUUUAUUUUAUUUUUUUGAGACAUGGAGAUUGGAGGUUGGUUGGGAUGAAAUGGAGGUUGGUUGGGAUGAAAUGAAGAUGGAGGAUGAGAAUUUGUGAAUUGUGGAUUUGGAACUGUUCAUAUGCUUAAAUUUAAAAUAUUGAUUGUUUGUUGAGUUUAA